rnacentral:lncRNA from 1 species
CACUUGGUUAAAACUAGCUCACAGGUAGGUAGUUGGUGGCUGUAGUUUCCUUGAAAUGCUUGCUGCCAAGCCCUAAUUCCAUUGUCUUCCAAUUAAGUCUACAAUUAAAACUAAUUUCAAUCAUCUCAUUUCAGGACUGUGAAGACAUUUUUAAGAAUAAAUGCAGAAGAAAGCAUAAAAGACUGAAAAAUUUGACUAAGUAAAAGUACAGAAUUUUCUAAAUGUCAAAAACACUAUAAACAAAGUUAAAUGAGGGGAAACAUGUGUACAGGUGACAAAGGUAAAGACAGAGCUUUCAGGG